rnacentral:rRNA from 1 species
GUGGGGAAUAUUGCACAAUGGGCGCAAGCCUGAUGCAGCGACGCCGCGUGAGGGAUGACGGCCUUCGGGUUGUAAACCUCUUUCAGCAGGGAAGAAGCGCAAGUGACGGUACCUGCAGAAGAAGCGCCGGCUAACUACGUGCCAGCAGCCGCGGUAAUACGUAGGGCGCAAGCGUUGUCCGGAAUUAUUGGGCGUAAAGAGCUCGUAGGCGGUCUGUCGCGUCUGGUGUGAAAUCCCGAGGCUCAACCUCGGGCUUGCAUCGGGUACGGGCAGACUAGAGUGCGGUAGGGGAGACUGGAAUUCCUGGUGUAGCGGUGGAAUGCGCAGAUAUCAGGAGGAACACCGAUGGCGAAGGCAGGUCUCUGGGCCGCAACUGACGCUGAGGAGCGAAAGCAUGGGGAGCGAACAGGAUUAGAAACCCCUGUAGUCC